rnacentral:lncRNA from 1 species
UCCAACAAGAGAGUAGUAUUUGAUGAUGAUGCAGGAAUAAUUGAAGAAAAGAUGGAUCACAUGACUCUACAAGAGGAUGAACCCAAGCAAGUUGAAGAAACUACAACAAGCCAAGAUGUAAUUGCCGAACAUGGGCUUACAAAGGCUUGGAGGUAUGCUCACGGUCAUCCUAAAGAAUUAAUCUUAGAUGAUCCAUCUCAACCUGUUAGAACAAGAGCCUCUCUUAGGAACUUAAAU